CCAGUCAUGGCUUGUAUAGGGUUCCUCCUCCGUAUUCUUUUCUAGUUGCUUGUCCGCGAAAAACUGUGUGAUCUUCGUCUGGGUGUCUGUCCUCUGCAAUGAACCAUCCUGUGAAAGGGGAGAGAUUCCCAGGACCUUAUACCCAGUUCUGGUGGUUUUGACAUUUCACAAAGUGGAUUGUGAACAAACUUGCUUCAUAAAAAAAGGGAAGAACUCCAAAUUGCUUUGAGGAUUGUAAUUUUCUGGAGUGCAUGAGCAUUUUAAGUGGAAUUCAUCAUCAACUCCAGGAGAAAAAGGAGAAAGGAGCAGUGUUAUGGAAAAAGAAGAGGACCCUCAACAGCUUGGAUCCAGGAUACCAUCUGAUCCCUUAUAUCUCUGCCCAAUCACUGAGGUUUUCAGCGUCCCCCAUGGCUUGGAUGGUUGGCUCAUAUCUGGCAGGAGCUGAGCCCAGUCCUAUGGAACUCCCUCCCAGUUGAGAUCAAACUAGACUCCCUUCUGAACUUCCAGCACCUUAUCAAGACCUUUUAUUUCAGCAGGUAUU